rnacentral:rRNA from 1 species
ACACGACUACAUUAGAUACCCGGGUAGUCCUAGCCGUAAACGAUACUCGCUAGGUGUCGGCCACGGUGCGACCGUUGUCGGUGCCGUAGGGAAACCGUGAAACGUGCCGCCUGGGAAGUACGGUCGCAAGGCUGAAACUUAAAGGAAUUGCGGGGGAGCACCACAACGGGUGGAGCCUGCGGUUUAAUUGGACUCAACGCCGGGAAGCUCACCGGAUAAGACAGCGGAAUGAUUGCCGGGCUGAAGACCCUGCAUGACCAGCUG